rnacentral:rRNA from 1 species
AAGCGGAGGAACAUGUGGUUUAAUUCGAUGAUACGCGAGGAACCUACCUGGGUUAAAUGCAGGACGCAAGUCACGUGAAAGCGAGACCCUCCGCGAGGGACGGACUGCAAGGUGCUGCAUGGUUGUCGUCAGCUCGUGCCGUGAGGUGUCGGGUUAAGUCCCAUAACGAGCGCAACCCUCAUUGUUAGUUACCAGCGGAUCAUGCCGGGGACUCUAACAAGACUGCCACCGUAAGGUGAGAGGAAGGUGGGGAUGACGUCAAAUCAGCACGGCCCUUAUAUCCAGGGCUACACACGUGUUACAAUGGCCAGUACAAAGGGCAGCUACCUGGUGACAGGAUGCUAAUCUCCAAAACUGGUCUCAGUUCGGAUCGAAGUCUGCAACUCGACUUCGUGAAGUUGGAUUCGCUAGUAAUCGCGCAUCAGCAACGGCGCGGUGAAUACGUUCCCGGGCCUU